rnacentral:lncRNA from 1 species
AAGCCGAGGGAACGCUGUGGCUGAAAGGGACCUGGGUCCGCUCAGUCAGCCCGAGGUGGCUGUUGAUUGAGGGAGGUCGCGCCCUCCCAGUUACCUUCCCUGGUGGUUGUGCCGCUCGGUGUGACGCGGUCAAGGGGACGGCUACGCGAGAAUGGGGGAGUGGGGCGCCCGAGGCUGCUCCUGGGCCCUGGGAAGCCCCCGAUUAAUGAAUGGUCGGGUCAGCGACGCGAGGGUCGGGGUUUCUCUGAGGACCGCGCGCUGCACCUGCGGAGCCGGGUGAAUGGAUGUCGCGAAGGCAAGGGCUGCCCUUACCCCUCGGGGCCGACCUCGGAGCCCUCGCCCGUGGUUGCAACGCUUUCCCGGGAAACCGGAGAAGCCAGGCCGGGGGCUCGGCCUUUCUGAGGCGGCCCUUCCGGCGGAGGACACCGGCGGAAUUUGAGUGCACAGAGUGCGCGAGAGGAGCUCCCUGUAGACACACAGUCCAAGCCACGUAGGGAUGAUAAAAAAAUAUUUACAGUUAAAUAGCUGGAUCUAGUACAAUGAAAUAUAAAGAAAGGGCUAAUGAGUAUUUAGGAUAGAGAAAUCUCAUGCCAUUAGAGAGAUCAGAAAAGUUUUCAUUAAGGAGUAGACAUUUCAGAUGGGUCCUAAAGGAGAAGAUUGAGGACUCUGCAAGUGGAAAGGGAGGUGGAACAGGUAGAAGAAAUACUGUGGAGGGAGGAAAAUCAAGGACAUAUUUAAGAAGAAUGUGUCUACGUUGGAUGAAGCUUAGGAUACAAACAAGGGAAAAUGAGACUAGAGAGAGCCACGAUAUCAUUGGCAAAAGACUUGGAUUGUUGUGUUUACUGCUCAUGCUUCAUUUGAUGGAGAGUCACAGAAUGUUUCAGCUUGUAUGGCACCAGGAAUAGAAGUGGGCCUUGAGUAAAUCCAGCAGCAGUAUCUGGAACUAAUUGGAGAAAAAAAAAAAGAGUAGGUCUACAGCCAAUACCUCCUUGGUAAAUGCAAGGGACUGUUGAGUAAAAUCUCUGCGGCACAUCCUCAGCACUCUUAAUGUGUCUAACCUCUGCUGACAGUACUGCUAUCAAAAAAAAUUACCAAAUUGAUCACUCUGAAGAAUUUAAACUAAGAUCACUGAUAUAGUUUGGAUGUUGUCCCCACUUAUAUCUCAUGUCAAAAUGUAAUCCCAGUGUUGGAAGCAGGGCCUGGUGGGAGUGAUUGGAUCAUGGGUGUGAAUUUCUCAGCACCAUCCCCUUGGUGCUGUUCCAGCGACAGUGAGUUCUCUCAAGGUGUGGUUGUUUAAAAGUGUGUAUCACCUCCUGCCUUGCUCUCUCUUGCCUCUGAUUUUGGCAUGUGAACUGCCUGCGCCCACUUUGCCUUCUGCCUUGAGUAAAAGCUCCCUGAGGUCUCUCCAGAAGCAGAGGCCACCAUGCUUCUGUACAGCCUGCAGAACCCUGAACCAAUUAAAUCUCAUAUAAAUUACCCAGUCUCAGGUAUUUCUUUAUAGCAAUGUGAGGAUGGACUAAUACAACCAUCUAUGACAAAGAAAAUUAAUUUGAAAGUAUUGAAAAUUAUAAUUCCUUCUGUAUGUCAUGACAUAGCCCUUAAAAUAGUUCACGUAAUUCUUAAACUACUAGAGUUAUGGUGCACACUGUAACAGUGACAGUACACACAGUAACAUGGUUCUUGUUUCAGUCUUGGAAGACUUUGGGAUAUUCAUCCUUGAUAAUUACAUAAUUUAAAAUAAAAGCUAAUAAAGUUGCCUUCAAGUCAUUUUGUAUGCUGAUCACAAUAUUCUCUGUGACAAGUUUACUGCUGUUCACAUUCCUAUAUCGCAGUGGCACCUUGGUUUUUAAAAGGAAGGCUAUGAAGGGGAUUGGGUUGGUUGAGGGUAACCUUUGGUGGGGGUAACAAAUACUGAAAUAUAAAAACUAAUGUACACUUAUCACAUGGUUUACAGUUUCUGUGAAUUCUGUGUUUAUGAAAACGUUAAGUCCUGUGAGAGAUUUUCAAUCCCCAAUUGUUUUGGCUGUCUACAUAUGCAAAGUCUUGUCUUAAUUUAAUAAGGAAUUGAAAUUUACAGCAAAGCCUGUUUACACAGCAUUUAAAACAGUAUAGAUCAACUGGUUUCUGCAGUCUUUGAAAAAAGAAAAAAACUAAAAUAAAAUCAGUAUUUAAUACUUAGUGAAAUUCUGUUAAACUAUUUAAAAUUAUGAUCGCUGUUAAUGUAUCAAAAAGCAAAACCAAUAUACUAGUAUGAUACAUUAGAAAGAGAAUAGGCUUUGGGGUCAGGCUGGCUUUUUCCCUGACUAGCUAUGUAACCUUGGACAAUUUAUCUACCCUGUUCUUUGGCAAAAUGUUCCUAAUACCACUUAACUGUAGAGUCAGGAGGGUUAAACAGGAUCCUGUUUUCUAUGUCUUAGACCAAGAGUUUGCACACUUUUCCUGUAAAGGGCCAGAAAGUAAAUAUGCUUUGUAGGCCUGGGUUCUCUGUCACAGCUAAUCAGCUUCAUUGUUAUAGCAUAAAAGCAGCCAUAGACAAUACAUAAACAAAUGAGCCUAGCUGUGUUCUAAUUAAACAUUAUUCACAGAUGCUGAAAAUUGAUUUUCAUUUAUUCUCAUGUCACAAAAUAGUCUUCUGAUUUUUUUCAACUACUUCAAGAUGUAAAAAAUCGUUCUUAGCUUGCAGCCCCUACAAAAACAGGUAGCAGGCCAGAUUUGGCCCAUGGGCCAUAGUCUGCCAACCCUAGCCUUAAGACACUUAAUCCUUGUAACACUCUGUGAAGUAAAUGGUACUACAUUUUUAUUUUGUAGAUGAGGUAAAUAGGUAUGGAGUUAUUAGGUGAUUUUCUCAGAGUCCCAUAGCUAGUAGGUGUUAUAACCAUAAAAAUUACUAUUAUAGAACCUUACGCUUGGUCCACAAAAUCAACUGAAAUAGUAGACAUUUUUGCAACACUUCCAUCCAUUAAUUCCACAAGGAUUUCUUGCACUGUGAGGCUGAUACAGUGCUAGACCCAUUAAAAGAACCUUAUGGUUCUUGUAAGCUGUUCCUUGUUGAUAGCCUUUGUUUUAAUGUUUAAAAGAAUGGCUCAGUUGAAACACAGGCAGGAAAAAAUCAGUAUCUUGGUUUUAUGCAGCCUUUCCACACACACACCUGCCCCCAACGUGCUUCAGAUACUUUUUUUCAUUCAUUCUCUAAACAUCCGUGUGUGAUAAGGUAAGAAUUAACUUCCCUAUUUAAUGUUUGGGGAAACAGGAUGGAGCUUGGGGACGUUGUAUGACUUUGACACUGUGUCUCAGGGCCAUAAUAUUAACAUGAGAACCAGAACUCUUAUUUUCAACAUCUUUCUUAGUACAAAUGCUACAGUGGAAAUGGAGGAAUAAUACACAAAAAUAUAGCUCUGAGGCUAAUUUCAUCAUGACACAAAUGAUCUAAGACAACAGUAGUUCAGUAAAGGUUUUCAGAAGAAUUUCCUAUCUUGCAAUGAACACAGCUAGAGCAGUGUAAAGAAGUAUACCCAUCUAGAUUAUAAACAUAAUAUAAAUGUUAAAAUCACGUUUUUCUUAAAUGUGGAUUUGCUUCUUGACUAAAAUUAGUGGCAUGCUGGCAUUUGCCACUUUUUUAAAUGGAAGAAAGUUGCAUUUAUUUCAUAUAUAAGAGUGAGAUGCCUAAAUAUGUUGACUAUAUUUGCCAAUUACAAAACCUUAUAAAAGUUUUCCUAAUAUUUUAUUAAACCGGGAAGCAGGCAGUUUAAAAAAAAAAAUCCCUUUUGAAGCUAUGUAGGGUAAGAAAAAAACAAAGGUAUUUCAGAAUGAGAAUAUUCAAGCCUGGAUUGAUCUUCCAAAGCGAGCUUCAGCUUCUUGAGCACUGCUUUAUUGCUUCAGAUUAAAAUACAUGCUCAAUGUAUGCUAUUGCCAUUGUGUGAUUUUGCUCAGUACUUUCUAAAGGAAGUAAGCAGAACUUCUCUACAGCUUUCAGUUUUAAAAAUAUAUAUCCAUGGUUCACAUUUUAAGUACUUCAGUCCACUUAGAUUUUACAAACCACUCAUUAUCAGUUCUUUCAGAUGUUGGGGAAAUAUUGCUAUUUAUAUUCUCAUAGUAAAGGACAUGUAGUCCUCUACUACACUGGAUCAAUCAUAUGAAAUGUAUCUGCUCCUUCAUCUUUUAAAACCAGAAACAGUGACCCCCCACCACCAAAACACACAUAUACACAAACAAGAACUUUCAACAUCCUUGUGUUUGUUUGAAUUAAUAGUUGUGAGAAAGUCCCAUUAUUGUAUUGUGUAAAUUUGUAGUCAUACAGUCAUAUACAAAUAAUAUUAAAAUUCAUACAUAGUUAUAAUGCUGCUGUCCCUAGAGAGCUGGCAUGUCUCCUCAAUAGUGGUAAUAGCACAUUUUUCUACCCUACCAACUUCCUCCCAUCCUCACACCCCUUUUAAUUUGUAGUUAUUAACAUUUUAUUCUAGAUUUAUUGUUCAUACCACCACAGAUUAUCAGCCCUUGAGUUCGUCUUCCUGUAAGGUCAUCUAGUGACUUAUAUUCUUUAAUUACUUGGAUUAUUUAACUUUUUUUCUCCUUAGUGAAGAAAUGGAAAUGACCUUUAAACUUUUCUACUUUAUAUCCAAGAAUAUUGUUUUAAAGAAAGAAACAUACACAUAAAAAAAUACUGAUAACGACUAUUUUAUAAAUAUGUAACUGUAUUUUUCUU